rnacentral:lncRNA from 1 species
AACCUCUUUUAUAUACUUAGAAAAUGCUUCCUACCUACACCAUCACUAUUUGAUACACAUGUCAUUGUCUUCUCAUCAUCAUUGUCGCUAAUGAGAAGAACAAUUAAAGGCACACUCUACCGGGGUACCGUGUCUUAGUUAUUCUUAGUGGAAGUUCCAUUGCAUGUCUAAUAAAGUCAUCAACCCCUUCUACAAAAUCCUCCCGCAAUCUAAAAUUCCAAUACAUAAACCAAAAUUUCAAUUCAUAUCCUAAAGUUUCAAUUCAUAUCCUAAAGGUUCAACUCAUAUCCACAAAAGUUCAAGUCAUAUCCUAAAAUUUCAAUUUAUAAACUAAAAUUCCAAUACAUAAACCAAAAUUUCAAUUCAUAUCCUAAAGGUUCAACUCAUAUCCACAAAAGUUCAAGUCAUAUCUUAAAAUUUCAAUUUAUAAGCUAAAAUUCAAAUACAUAAACCAAAAUUUCAAUUCAUAUCCACAAAAAUACAAGUCAAAUCCUAAAAUUUCAAUAUAAAAACUAAAAUUCCAAUACAUAAACCAAAAUUUCAAUUCAUAUCCUAAAGGUUCAACUCAUAUCCACAAAAGUUCAAGUCAUAUUCUAAAAUUUCAAUUUAUAAACUAAAACUCCAAUACAUAAACAAAAAUUUCAAUUCAUAUCCUAAAGAUUC